rnacentral:rRNA from 1 species
UUUAACUGAAGAGUUUGAUCAUGGCUCAGAUUGAACGCUGGCGGCAGGCUUAACACAUGCAAGUCGAGCGGGGGAAGGUAGCUUGCUACUGGACCUAGCGGCGGACGGGUGAGUAAUGCUUAGGAAUCUGCCUAUUAGUGGGGGACAACAUCUCGAAAGGGAUGCUAAUACCGCAUACGUCCUACGGGAGAAAGCAGGGGAUCUUCGGACCUUGCGCUAAUAGAUGAGCCUAAGUCGGAUUAGCUAGUUGGUGGGGUAAAGGCCUACCAAGGCGACGAUCUGUAGCGGGUCUGAGAGGAUGAUCCGCCACACUGGGACUGAGACACGGCCCAGACUCCUACGGGAGGCAGCAGUGGGGAAUAUUGGACAAUGGGGGGAACCCUGAUCCAGCCAUGCCGCGUGUGUGAAGAAGGCCUUAUGGUUGUAAAGCACUUUAAGCGAGGAGGAGGCUACUUUAGUUAAUACCUAGAGAUAGUGGACGUUACUCGCAGAAUAAGCACCGGCUAACUCUGUGCCAGCAGCCGCGGUAAUACAGAGGGUGCGAGCGUUAAUCGGAUUUACUGGGCGUAAAGCGUGCGUAGGCGGCUUAUUAAGUCGGAUGUGAAAUCCCCGAGCUUAACUUGGGAAUUGCAUUCGAUACUGGUGAGCUAGAGUAUGGGAGAGGAUGGUAGAAUUCCAGGUGUAGCGGUGAAAUGCGUAGAGAUCUGGAGGAAUACCGAUGGCGAAGGCAGCCAUCUGGCCUAAUACUGACGCUGAGGUACGAAAGCAUGGGGAGCAAACAGGAUUAGAUACCCUGGUAGUCCAUGCCGUAAACGAUGUCUACUAGCCGUUGGGGCCUUUGAGGCUUUAGUGGCGCAGCUAACGCGAUAAGUAGACCGCCUGGGGAGUACGGUCGCAAGACUAAAACUCAAAUGAAUUGACGGGGGCCCGCACAAGCGGUGGAGCAUGUGGUUUAAUUCGAUGCAACGCGAAGAACCUUACCUGGCCUUGACAUACUAGAAACUUUCCAGAGAUGGAUUGGUGCCUUCGGGAAUCUAGAUACAGGUGCUGCAUGGCUGUCGUCAGCUCGUGUCGUGAGAUGUUGGGUUAAGUCCCGCAACGAGCGCAACCCUUUUCCUUACUUGCCAGCAUUUCGGAUGGGAACUUUAAGGAUACUGCCAGUGACAAA